CUAUAAAAAAAGGGCAUUUUGAUCAUGUUGAUUGGGAUUUCUUGGACUACAUGUUGGGCAGGUUGAGAUGUGGUUGAAGUGGAGAGGCUGGAUGCGAGAGCGUUUACUGUUGGCUACCGUGAACCAUUUUCCAAUCUUGACGAGUAGCUCCCAUUGUCUCAUCUUCUUCAAUGGAGUUAUGAUUUCACUCCAAAAUUUGACCUCAUUUCCUGGCAAAGACCUUAUACAUCCUGACCAGCCUCUGACCCUCAUUUUCUUCUAUUUAGGCUAAAAUCAUCAUGAGAGACUACCUCUAACAGGAGAAGGCAAAGAAGCUCUAGAAUAGGAGCCUUGCGAGGAGCUACAAGGGCUAACAUCAUUCAUCUUUCAACACAAGACUGCUCUGCCCAUUUCGUGAACAAUUUAGAGGUCUUCAAAUCAACACCGCUCACCCCCCCUUUAUUGGUUGUUUCUUUGUGGGCCGACAUGAGUUUGGUUAUGGUUACGAAUUAUUUUAUUUAGCUGUUGCUAAAAGUCAUAGAAAUGAAUUAUAAUGGGUGAGAUUAAAUGGUAUGUUUGUCUAGGAUAUAAAACAAGUUUUGGGGUUUCCUUGAGUCAUUUUAGGGGCUAAGAUUAGUCCUAAUCAAUGGCAGGUAUAAGGAUUUAAGUUUAGGGUUAGUAUGUCACAUGUAUAAGGGCUGUUGCACACGAUUAAGAGAAGCCUCUUUUCUUUCUUUCUCCGUCCCUUUCUCUCUUUAAUAUGGACUAUUGCUUGAAAUUAGUGGACUCUUUGCUUUGUUACAAAUUGGUACAUCAUUAAGUGUGGCUUGUACCAAUCUCGUCUCUUUUCAUGAUUUCUCUCCUAUGUUAAGUGGUAUUAGAGUGGUCCCUUUUGGGAUCCUAGGGCCAGGCCUUUAGUUGAUUUGAAGAGCCCCAACUUCUUGGUCAUCCACAAGGUAGCAAUGGUGGUUGCGGGAUGGGACGUGGUGGAGAAUUCCGAGUCAAAGUAAUUUACUGAAUUUAAUGGCCAAGAUGGCAUCGAGGAAUUCCUUGAUUUGUUGGAGUGGAGAGAUUCUUUGAUUAUAUGAAAUUCUGGAUGAUUGGAAGGUGAAAUUGGUUGUGAUAAAGUUCUAGGGAUUCACAUUGGCAUGGUGGGAACAACUUUAGAUGCAAUGGGUGCGAUAAGGAAAACAAAAGAUCAUAAUCGAGUAUAUGAUGAAGAAACUCCAACAAGAAUUUCUUCCAAAGAAUAUUGAUUAAAUCCAGUAGGUGAAUCGUCAAAGAGUAAGUAAUUUUAUUUUAUUUUAUUAUUUUUUUAAAAAUUGGUUAUCUCCUUGCAAUAUUGUAGAGAUCGAGUCUUCAGAUGGUCACUAGAUUAGUGGAUGGGUUGAGGAUACUGAUCCAAAACCAUAUGUUCUACACAAAUGUGGGUGGGUGUGGAUGUGGUGAGGUUGGUGAAAAAUAUCAAAACUUAGUUUAACUGCGAGGAUGGUGAAUUUGGGCAACGGAACCUCAAGGUUUGUUAAUUGAGGUGAGUGUAUAAGUCGGGGCCCCAUGUUCCAAAAUAAGGGUCGAAAGACCACCCAAACAGGUCAGGUAAUCGUUGGUUCGAGUAGUGGUGAGUAGUUGAAUUGGUCAUGAUCGUCAAAUCUACGUGAUUAGGGUUGUUAAUGGGCCAGGCCAGGGAUUGGUUUUGGCCUAGAUUUUGAAUUGUUCAGGCUGGGCUUAUCAGAUCUAGCCUAUUCAAAAUUUUCAUUUUGCUUGGCAUUAACAAUGCUACACUUAAUGGAAGCAUGCAAAAUAUGAGUAACCUGAGCCAUAGAUCUGUGGAAUGGGAAUGGAGAAAAUUCACCAACAUGACAACCCACAAAGACAAUCCCUACUUCGAUGUUCUAGAAGUCGACAUCAUUGAUGAAGAUCUAGGAGAGAAACAAUGCAAGGAGGGAACAAGAAACUCUCCAUCUAUGAUGAUGAGGAUGAACUCUUAGUGGUUUGACGUCUCAUGUAUACACCACAUGUCAUGGAGAGAAAUGGUCAACGACACAAUUUUCUGAAACUUUACACUAUGGGCGGAAAAAAUAUGUGAUAUGAUCAUUAAUGAUUGAAGUUGUAAGGAUAUUAAUGCAGUGGCAUUUUCACACCGAGCUCGAGUGGGGUAGCCUAUGGGAUGCGGGGACACUCGAGGUGGGCAGUCCGUGUGAGGUGGGCCCAUGUGAAGUGGGGUCCACAAGGAGGAUUCGGCCGACGUCCUAACCCAUGGGAUGUUGGGCAUGGGUUAUGAGAUAAAGGGAUUGAUUUGCCACUCUCUAUCAGUUCGAGCUUUUAGAACAAGUGGUUAAUUGUCCUGCAUCAAAGUGGUAUUAGAGCGGGAGGUCUCGUGUUUGAGACUCCUCACCAGGGGUGAUUAAUGCAGGAGCAUUUUCACACCGUGCUCGAAUGGGCUAGCCCGAGGGAUGUGGGGACACACUUGGGGUGGACGGCCCAUGUGAGGCUGGUGGCUUGUGUGAAGUGGGCCCAUGUGAAGUGAGGCCCAUGAGGAGUGUUCGGCCGACGUCCUAACCCAUGGGAUGUGGGGACUGGGCUAUGAGAUAAAGGGAUUGAUUCCCCACUCUCUAUCAGUUCGAGCUUUUAAAGCAAGUGGCUCAUUGUCCUGCAUCAGAUAUUGUUUUGUAAUAUGUGGUGGACAAGCUCAAACUGAAGACAAGAAUCCUACACCAUACCAAAUUACAUGGCUCAAGGGUGGCAAAGUCAAGGUAACUGAAUGAUGCCUUGUCUCCUUCUCAAUUGGGAAAGGGUACAAGGAUGAAGUGCUUUGCGAUGUGGUCAAUAUUGACACAUGCCAUAUUUCUUUAUUUAUCCUUGGCAAUAUGACUUGGACAUUAUGCAUAAGGGCAAGCAAAAUACGUUCAGAUUCUUUAAGGACAAUGUGAGGACAACCUUAGCCUCUAUAGCAAGGAAACUAGUCACCAGUCUUCUAGAGAAGAUUGGAUUUUCCUAACCACAAUUCAAGGAGGAAUUGAAGGAUAGUGGUAUUGUGUAUGCCCUCAUUGGGAAAAAAUGUUGUAUCUAAUGUUGUCAAGGUUUAGAACCAUUAGUGGAAUUUGAGUUGGAUGGAUUGUGUCCCAUGAGGGACAUCCCUAAUUUCUGGUUCUAGCUUUUCAAUUUAGCUGCUAUCAGAAGAGUCCGAAAGACUGAGGAACUACAAUGGAAAGUGAAUGAUUUGCCAUUACUUGCCUAGAUUACAUAUUCAAUAUAUUAAGCCAGGUCAAAUUUUUUUUUUUUUUGAAGAUUGACUUGGGUGGGGGGUAUGGGGUACCGCCAAAUAUGCAUGAGACCGGGCAAUGAAUGGAAGGCAGCUUUUAAAGCAAGAGAAGGCUUGUAUCCGUGGUUGGUAAUGCCCUUCGGGUUAUGUAAUAGUCACAGUACCUUCAUGUGAUUGAUGAAUCAGGUGCUAUGACCCUUCAUUGGGAAAUUUGUUUUCAUAUAUUUCAACGAUAUCCUAGUUAUCACUUUAUCAAGGAGGUGCAUGUGCAACAACUGUGAGAAGUGCUAACAGUAUUGUAGAAGUUGUACGUGAAUCUUAAAAAGUACCACUUUAUGACCAAUAGCCUCAUUUUCAGAGGCUAUGUGGUUAGUGGAGACAAACUUUGGGUAGAUGAGAGCAGUACUUGAGUGGCCUACACCUAAGACUGUUAUUAGUUUGCGAAGUUUCAAUUGAUUGAAUAUUUUCAGCUGAUUUAUGCGAAACCUUUGCACAAUCAUGGCCCCCAUAACCAAAUGUUUAAAGAGGGGACAACUUUUAUUUAGGAGAAGCAGAAGAUGGUUUCAAACCGUUAAGAAGAAGAUGUUCAAAGCACCUGUUUUGUUCCUGCUAGAUUUUGAAAAGAUAUUCAAAGUCGAUUGUGAUGCUUCUCAUGUGGGGGAUUGGAGUAGUUCUUAGUCAAGAAGGAAGACCUAUAGCAUUUUUUAGUGAGAAGUUGAACGAGACCUGGUAGAAAUAUUUGACAUGACUUGGUAAGUCUAUGUGGUUGUGCAAGCAUUGUGGUAUUGGCAGCAUUAUCUUAUUUGGUGGGAAUUUAUCCUAUUUUCAAUGGGAAGCGUGCAGAGUGGGCAUCAUUUCAUUAGGAGUACAUGUCACAACACAAAUCUAGCACACAACCAGGUGGUAGAUACCUUGAGCAGAAGGGUAUCUUUUU